rnacentral:misc_RNA from 1 species
GAUGAAGAACGUAGCGAAAUGCGAUACGUAAUGUGAAUUGCAGAAUUCAGUGAAUCAUCGAAUCUUUGAACGCAUAUUGCGCUCUCUGGUAUUCCGGAGAGCAUGCUUGUUUGAGUAUCAGUAAACACCUCAACUCCCUUUUCUUUUUUGAAAUGGGAGCUGGACUUGAGUGAUCCCAACACUUUUCUCACUGGAAAGUGGCGGGUCACUUGAAAUGCAGGUGCAGCUGGACUUUUCUCUGAGCUAUAAGCAUAUCUAUUUAGUCUGCCUAAAAAACAGAUUAUUACCUUUGCUGCAGCUAACAUAAAGGAGAUGAGUUCUUGUGCUGACUGAUGCAGGAUUCACAGAGACAGCUUUGCGGCUGACUUUGUAAACUCGAUCUCAAAUCAAGUAAGACUACCCGCUGAACUUAAGAAUAUCAAUAAGCGGAGGA